rnacentral:rRNA from 1 species
UACGUAGGGUGCGAGCGUUGUCCGGAAUUAUUGGGCGUAAAGGGCUCGUAGGCGGUUUGUCACGUCGGGAGUGAAAACUCGGGGCUUAACUCCGAGCCUGCUUCCGAUACGGGCUGACUAGAGGUAUGCAGGGGAGACUGGAAUUCCUGGUGUAGCGGUGAAAUGCGCAGAUAUCAGGAAGAACACCAAUGGCGAAAGCAGCUUUCUGGGACGGUACUGACGCUGAGACGCGAAAGCGUGGGGAGCGAACAGG